rnacentral:lncRNA from 1 species
CAUCUAAUAAAUGAGACACUGGUCUCAUUACAUCCAGUGGUGCCCAAUCUCUACACUCUUCUUUCAUAAAUUCCAGAAACAGCAGCAUGGGUUACUGUAUCACAUUUAAAAGAUGCCUUUAAAAAAAUAAAUAAAUAAAAUAAAAUAAAAGAUGCCUUUAUUCUGCAUUUCCUUGACUAAGGCUUUGCAUAUAUAAAUUCUCAAAAUAUGGAAGGUAACUAACUGGCCAGAAUUAAUUUUAGUUUCAAGUAAACUGGGAAACAUUCAGUAUUAAAUUAGUAUCUUAAAUUAGAAUUGAAGUUUGCUGAUCUAAUUAAAACACACAUGUCGUUACAGCUGUCAACAUUAGGUAUGAUAUCUUAGUGUACCUAGGUUUAACAGAAGUCAAAUGAGACACUGAAACAUCAGUUACUAAACAGAAACUAAAGAUAUUUAGAAUAACUAAUCAAUAUGAUCAGUGCCACCCUGAAUGGUCUCCAUAAGAAAAACAUGUGUUUUUAGAAAUUAUAAAGGACAGUCUGUGGUUGCUUUAGAAAAGUAGAAAGUGUGUGCUUUCAAUAUAGAAGGAAUGAGGGAUGGAACUGCAUUUUAUUAAGGCAAAAGAAAGAUAGUCUGUCUUCAGCUGAUUGCUCUGGUUGGAAAAUAAGGGACAGACUAAUAUGGAUACAGAAAGUGAUACAAGAUGUAUGGGAAGUGGACACUGAGAAGAGAAUUUUGUGCAUGGUGGGGACUGUCUAGAACAUAUUUGAGUAAGUUAACUUUAAAAGUAAUGUGGUGCCAUAAAUCAUACUGCUCACAAGGACAUAAGGUAGCUUGCAAUUACAUGUUGACCAAGGCAUACAAAUAUUUCAUAACCAACCAGAGAAAUCAGAAAAAUCAUACAGUUACCUGUGCUAUUAUAAAAUCUAAAUGUUGUAUUCCUGAUUGUUCACAGAAUGUGUCUAAUUCCCUGCUAGAUCUUCAACAGUAGAUUCAUGAGGUGUCCUACCCAGCUCCAGCUUUUGGAGCUGCCCUGUGGAACCAGAUGACCUCCUCCUCCUGGUGAAAAUACUUCUUCACCAUAUCCUUUUAUUCAGACCCUGUAUAAUUAACUGAAUUUCUUGCUUCAUUACAUCCUGAUUAAAAGCUAUCAACCUUCAAAUGUUGAUAGAAGGAGUACCCAAAGCAAUGUAUCAAAGCCCACUUGACUGUCCCAUGAGUGGAGACCUAACUGCUUUCCCUAACAACACCCCUUUUCAGCAGGAAGAAGUCAGAGUGGUCAUCACCCCUUUUCCCCACAGUUAGAGUCUCCAACUCGCGGGGGGGAUUGAGGCAGAAUAUUAACUCAGGUAGUCAGUGUAGGAACAUGGGCUUCGAUACAUUCUUUGAUGUGGCUAUUGGUUAACAUUUGUAAAUUAAGGGUCGCAUAGCAAUCCCAACCGCUAUAAAGGUUACAGGUAUUACCCCAUGGAUCCAUCACACCAGAAUAAAGAAGGCUGCUCCUGCCACUGACACAGACACCUGGGAAGCUGUCCGGCACCCUGAGAACCCCCCUCAGGAUCAAGUUCCAGAGACAUUUGGCACCAGAGGAUGGCAGGCCCUGCUCUGGUCACACCCAGAAGCUGGCCAGUCUACGCACAGCAGAAACUUGAGGAAUCUACAGCACUGCCCCAGCCACAUACUGGAAGUUGGUUGGUUUGUACAAGUGGAGGCCAGAGGAUCUCCAUGCAAACUUGAACUGAACUCAUGCUCUGGUGGGGAAUAUUGGUAAUUGAAAUUGCCAUCGCCCUUAUAUUUGGAGUGGGGCUAUAUGCAGUAUCCCCUUCAGAAUGGGGACAGGGAGCCCAACUACUCAUCUGUGUGAUGUAUCGCCUGACUGUCAGUAUACUAGAAUCCCUGUUCAUAAUGGGUCAGUGAAAAGGAUUAAGGGAAUCAUAGUUCUGCUAACACCCUGCUGCUCACUCCAGGGCAACAGACUGGGACGAUGAUCUAUGGGAUGGGACAGGAUUAACAGAUGCUUACCAGUGCCUCCCUGCUAAUUGGACAGGGACCUGCACUCUAGCCUUUGUCACUCCUCAAAUAGAUAUUGUCCCUGGGAAUCAGUCCCUUAUGGUGCCCAUAGAGGCACAUGGCAGAACAAGACAGCAAUGCAAAUUAUCCCCUUAUUUAGUUGGUUUGGGAAUUUCAGCAGGGACAGGAGCAGGAGUGGGAGGAAUAGCAUCCUCCACUGCUUAUUAUCAUCAGUUAUCUAAAGAAUUCACAGAUGAGUGGAACAAGUAGCCCCUUCCCUAGCAGCCUUACAGGAUUAGGUAGACUCUCGGCAGAAGUGGCCCUUCAAAACAGGAGAGCACUGGACUUAUUCACUGCUGAAAAAGGGGGACUUUGCCUGAUGAAGAAUGCUGUCUUUAUGCCAGCAGAUCUGGAAUUGUCAGAAACAUGGACCAACAACUAAAAGAACACAUAGCAAAGAGAAGGGACGAAUUAGAUAACUCCUGGUUAAAUUGGGGUAACUACUGGAGUUGGGUGGCAUGGCUCAUGCCUUUGGCUGGGCCCCUCCUUAUGCUCUUCAUAGCCCUCACAUUUGGCCCCUGUAUCCUGAACUAUCUUGUCAUGUUUGUCUCCUCAUGCCUAGAAUCUAUAAAGCUACAAACGGUGGUGAUGUCCGGGCCACACUUAUAUCAGCCCCUGGGCCAAGAGGACCAGGAAGGUUGAUGCUUGUUCCAAAAAUGUGAAAAAGCAUCAAGAGAGGGGAAUGUAGGAGAAAAUAUCCCAAUAAAAAUGUAGAAAGGAGGAGUUCCCGUCGUGGCGCAGUGCUUAACGAAUCCGACUAGGAACCAUGAGGUUGCGGGUUCGGUCCCUGCCCUUGCUCAGUGGGUUAACGAUCCGGCGUUGCCGUGAGCUGUGGUGUAGGUCGCAGACGCGGCUUGGAUCCCGCGUUGCUGUGGCUCUGGCAUAGGCUGGCAGCUACAGCUCCGAUUAGACCCCUAGCCUGGGAACCUCCAUAUGCGCGGGAGCGGCCCAAGAAAUAGCAACAACAACAACAACAACAAAAG